rnacentral:rRNA from 1 species
CAGUCGCCGCGGUAAUACGAAGGGUGCAAGCGUUACUCGGAAUUACUGGGCGUAAAGCGUGCGCAGGCGGUUAUAUAAGACAGAUGUGAAAUCCCCGGGCUCAACCUGGGAACUGCAUUUGUGACUGUAUAGCUAGAGUACGGCAGAGGGGGAUGGAAUUCCGCGUGUAGCAGUGAAAUGCGUAGAUAUGCGGAGGAACACCGAUGGCGAAGGCAAUCCCCUGGGCCUGUACUGACGCUCAUGCACGAAAGCGUGGGGAGCAAACAGGAUUAGAUACCCCGGUAGUCCCUGUCUCUUAUAC